rnacentral:lncRNA from 1 species
AGAAUGUUAAAUAACCUUUAAUCAAAUUCAAAGAAACCUCAAAGGAAUUCCAAAGAAACAAUAAGAAAUCUUAAAGAAAUAUUAGAAUGAUUACAAAUAUAUGUCAAAUAUAUCUUAAUUCAAUCUUAAUUUAAUCCUAGUUGAAAUCUUAUUGGACUUCAUUCAAACUUUAGGCCAAAGACUAACUAAAUCUUAAAUCCUAAACAAGCUCAAAUAAAAUCCUAAAUCCUAAAUCAAAACUUGAACAAAUCCAAACCAAAUAUUAAACCUUAAACUAAAUCUUAAAUCCUAAAUCAAAUCCUAAAUCCUAAAUCAAAUCCUAACCAAAUCUUAACCCUAAUCUUAAAUCCUAAAUCAAAUUCUAACCAAAUCCUAAAUCCUAAACCAAAUCUUACCCAAAUCCUAACUCUAAAUCAAACCCUGACCAAACCCUAUAUCCUAAACCAAACCCUUACCAAAUCCUAAUUUUAAAUCAAAUCCUAACCAAAUCCUAAUCCUAAAUCAAAUCCUAACCAAUCCUAAAUAAAUCUCUACAUCCUAAACCAAAUCCUAACCAAAUUCUAACCCUAAAUCAAAUCUUAACCAAAUCCUAAAUCCUAAACCAAAUC